UUCGUAGGCGGUGUGGCAAGUUGGGAGUGAAAUCUCUGGGCUCAACCCAGAGGCUGCUUCCAAAACUGCUGUGCUUGAGUGUGAGAGAGGCUCGUGGAAUUGCAGGUGUAGCGGUGAAAUGCGUAGAUAUCUGCAGGAACACCCGUGGCGAAAGCGGCGAGCUGGAUCACUACUGACGCUGAGGAACGAAAGCUAGGGGAGCAAACAGGAUUAGAUACCCUGGUAGUCCUAGCCCUAAACGAUCAGGACUUGGGGUGCCGCCCGUUCGGGCGUCGUCCCGGAGCUAACGCGUUAAGUCCUGCACCUGGGGAGUACGGUCGCAAGACUGAA
rnacentral:rRNA from 1 species